rnacentral:rRNA from 1 species
GACGAACGCUGGCGGCGUGCUUAACACAUGCAAGUCGAACGGUGAAGGGACCGGUUUUUGCUGGUUCUGGAUGAGUGGCGAACGGGUGAGUAACACGUGAGUAACCUGCCCCCUUCUUCUGGAUAACCGCAUGAAAGUGUGGCUAAUACGGGAUAUUCUGCGCCUGCUGCAUGGUGGGUGUGGGAAAGAUAUUGUUUCGGUGGGGGAUGGGCUCGCGGCCUAUCAGCUUGUUGGUGGGGUGAUGGCCUACCAAGGCGGUGACGGGUAGCCGGCCUGGGAGGGUGGACGGUCACACUGGGACUGAGACACGGCCCAGACUCCUACGGGAGGCAGCGGUGGGGAAUAUUGCACAAUGGGCGCAAGCCUGAUGCAGCGACGCCGCGUGAGGGAUGGAGGCCUUCGGGUUGUAAACCUCUUUCGCCAGUGAAGCAGGCCUGUCCCUUUUGUGGGUGGGUUGACGGUAGCUGGAUAAGAAGCGCCGGCUAACUACGU